GUCAAUUCAGGGUUGCCCAUGCAACUUGGUUAGCACAGCUAGCUCUUCAAGUUGGAGGUCCAAUUCUUAGGAUUCUGCAAAUUAAUUCUAGAAAACUGGCUUUGGUUUGGGCUAAGCAAAAAUCAUCACACUGUUUAUCAUGCUGAUUUGGUUGUUUAACAGUUAAAGUCCAGGCUGCAUGUUUUUUUGUCCUGCAUAUGGCAGAUGGGACAGUCUGGUUUUCAAGUGUUUAUGUGGGGAAUUAAUAUUAAUCAGGACUGGCUUCUGAGUGAAGGUCUUGCCUGCUUUAUGUGAGAGCAGGCUCUAUGCAAGAUUCCAAUUGCUACACAGCAUGAUCUCAGUGCUCUUCCUCUGAAACAAUGCUUGGUUGCGAUAUCAUCCAGCAAGUACAAAAAUGUACUACCACGGUCAAGGAUCAUUUGGCAUGUUCAUCGACUAUGUUAACCCAUUGAGUGGCGCCAUGCACUGUCCCCUGACAAGUAAAAUUGUCUGGUGUUAGACAGAGUAAACUAACAAAGUAGGGCACAUCUGGAUGCAUUGGGCCAUUCCAUUUAAUGUAUACACCCCCCUAUGGACGAGUUCAAUAAAAUUUGAACCCCUAAGAAAAAAAGAUCAAAGUGCUGACACCCCCCCCCCCCAGAAAUUAAGAAAUUUUUGCCUUAUCCCUCAGAAAAAGUGCAAAGAUCAAAGGAUGCCGAUGCACACAACCCCUCAGAAACGGCUUUUUCAACCCCCUCAGAAAUUCUAGUCCAUCGGGGGGGGGGGGAGGGUGUAUAUUAAAUGGAUGGCCCAUUGCCACUUAAAGGGUUAAAAACGUAAAUACCACAGCACAACACUUGUACAUAUACAUAUACAAGUAAUACAACAGCAAUCCUUUUAUAUAUUUAAUAGUCAUAUUUACAUAUUGGUGAAAUAUCAAUGUCCAUAUAUUAGGGAUGUCCAUGAACUUGUCCCUAGUUUGAAGCUAAUGUAUUCAUAUCUUUUGUAUAAGUUGUCCCUCUACAAACCAACUUUUAGUCAUUAUACAAGAGUUGAAUUUGCAUUCAUUUGCUUCGCAAUUCGCAACAAACUGAACAAAGUACUAUUCCAUAAACCUGUGCAAUGAUCGAGCGUCUUUGGCGACAUAUCCGUGUCUUUUAAACGUCUCAUACGAACAAAUCUCACUGAGUUUUUUCUACAGAAAGUAUUGAUCCAUUUGAUCGAUCGCCGUACUUUGAGAGAAGCUUCAAGUGCAAAAUUCACAAAGAAGAUUGAAGAAUUUCGGAGAUAAAAACUGUUUGUCUUCGAAUUUC